CAGUAGCCACGGUAACACGGAGGGAGCUAGCGUUGUUCGGAAUUACUGGGCGUAAAGCGCGCGUAGGCGGUUACUCAAGUCAGAGGUGAAAGCCCGGGGCUCAACCCCGGAACUGCCUUUGAAACUAGGUGACUAGAAUCUUGGAGAGGUCAGUGGAAUUCCGAGUGUAGAGGUGAAAUUCGUAGAUAUCAGGAGGAACACCGGUGGCGAAGGCGGCUACCUGGCCCAGAACUGACGCUGAGGUGCGAAAGCGUGGGGAGCGAACGGGAUUAGAGACCCCGGUAGUCCCUGUCUCUUAUAC
rnacentral:rRNA from 1 species